rnacentral:lncRNA from 1 species
GCGGAGACGUGCGCCCCUUCGGGGGCGUCCAGUGCGGCGACGCGACCGAUCCCGGAGAAGCCGUCGGGAGCCCCGGGUAGAGUUCUCUUUUCUUUGUGAAGGGCAGGGCGCCCUGGAACGGGUUCGCCCCGAGAGAGGGGCCCGCACCUUGGAAAGCGUCGCAGUUCCGGCGGCGUCCGGUGAACUCUCGCCGGCCCUUGAAA